GACCAAACUGUAUUACUGUGACAACUGGGCUUUUGACUACUGGGGAGCAGGAACCAUGGUAACAGUAACAUCAGCCGCUCAGAUUGCUCCCACUGUGUUUCCUCUGACUCCAUGUGGUUCUGGUGGUAGUGACAUGGUCACCCUCGGCUGUCUUGCCACCGGUUUCAACCCUUCUUCCAUCACCUUCUCGUGGCAACAAGGCAGUACUUCUUUGAACAACGUCAUCCAGUACCCUUCAAUCCAGAAAGGCAAUGAAUACAUGGGAAUCAGUCAGGUUCAAGUCAGCAGACAGGACUGGGACGCAAGAAAAUCCUUCAAAUGCAUUGCAACUCACGCUGCAGGAGAACGACAUACUAUAGUCACGCCACCACUGCCACUACCCAAGGUUUAUGAGCUUCCGACUCUUAAAGUGUGUUCCUCCGUUGAUGAGGGGAAAGAGGAGGCUUACUUCUCCUGCUUUGCCAAAGAUUUUUCUCCAAAUGAAUAUGAGAUCACAUGGCUGAAAGAUGAUCAAGUAAUCACCGGGACGGUAGAUGAGGUCGUCACAUCCUCUCAGGGAAGAAAUGACACGAAUGGAACUAUCCUGUACAGUGUUGCAAGUCUCCUCACAUUGCCGUCCAGGGAAGUGCCUGAAGGCGCAAAAUUAACAUGUUUAUUUAAGGGAAAAGGAAAAGACGACAAAACUCCAGUCUAUACCAAUUCUACUGUGUCCCACAAGCGGUGUUCAGCUGUUACUGAAGGGUGUAGCGAAGAUAUGGAUAUAAGGAUCAUACCCCCCACAAACAAGGACAUCUUUUUGGAUGGAAAAGGAACCCUGAUUUGUGAAGUCACCGAAAAAAAAGCGGGAUUUGAGAAGGUCGUCUGGUUGGACGAGGACGACACGGAAGUGGUAUCCACACAGGAGAAUAAAGGAUCCAAUGUACAUCUAGCUAAAAUUGAGAUCACCUUUGAUGAAUGGAGCAAGGGGCUCACGCGAGUCUGUGAAGUUCACAGCACUGAGUGGAUUGAUCCAGUGAAGAAAGAGUACAGAAGAAACAACGGAAGAGCUUCUAAGCGUCCAUCAGUGUUUAUGUUGCCUCCCUUAGAGCAAACUAGAGAAAAUACAGUGGUUCUGACUUGCUAUGUGAAAGACUUCUCUCCUCGGGAGAUUUAUGUGGACUGGCUUGUCGAUGAUGAAAAGGCAGGCACAAAAUAUCAGUUCAGUACCACAGAACCCGUGGAAAACAAUGGACUCUUCUCCGUUUACAGCCAGUUGAUCCUCACACAAGAACAAUGGAAUGAGAAAGACGUGGUGUAUAGCUGUGCUGUUCAUCAUGAGUCAGUGGCAAAGUCAAGCAAAUCAAUUGUCAGAUCCAUUGGAUCCAGAACCUUUGAAAAAACCAAUGUGGUCAACCUUAACAUGAACGUCCCUGAAACGUGCAAGGCCCAGUAGAUGUGUCUAUGCGUCUUGUUUUUUAUUUUUCCUUCUCGUUUGAUGUCUGUUGCUUGUGAUUUUUAAAUUUUUUGUGUGUUUUUAGUGCAAAUUUAAAAUGAAAAUAAAA